AUUGAACGCUGGCGGCAGGCCUAACACAUGCAAGUCGAACGGUAACAGGGAGCAGCUUGCUGCUUCGCUGACGAGUGGCGGACGGGUGAGUAAUGUCUGGGAAACUGCCUGAUGGAGGGGGAUAACUACUGGAAACGGUAGCUAAUACCGCAUAACGUCGCAAGACCAAAGAGGGGGACCUUCGGGCCUCUUGCCAUCGGAUGUGCCCAGAUGGGAUUAGCUAGUUGGUGGGGUAACGGCUCACCAAGGCGACGAUCCCUAGCUGGUCUGAGAGGAUGACCAGCCACACUGGAACUGAGACACGGUCCAGACUCCUACGGGAGGCAGCAGUGGGGAAUAUUGCACAAUGGGCGCAAGCCUGAUGCAGCCAUGCCGCGUGUAUGAAGAAGGCCUUCGGGUUGUAAAGUACUUUCAGCGGGGAGGAAGGGAGUAAAGUUAAUACCUUUGCUCAUUGACGUUACCCGCAGAAGAAGCACCGGCUAACUCCGUGCCAGCAGCCGCAGUAA
rnacentral:rRNA from 1 species